ACUUUAAAUAGGUAAGAACUAGAAGUUACUUGAUCAUCUCUUGAACUUCUAGAACAGAAUGGAAAGUUCUUAGUGGGCCAUUUUUGGUAAGCAGGACUGGCGAUGCGGGAUCAACCGAACGUUGAGUUAAAGUGCCCAAAUAUAUGCUCAUUUUAGAUUCCGUAAAAGGUGUUGAUUCAUUUAGACAGCAGGACGGUGGUCAUGGAAGUCGAAAUCCGCUAAGGAGUGUGUAACAACUCACCUGCCGAAUGAAUUAGCCCUGAAAAUGGAUGGCGCUUAAGCAUAUUACUUAUACUCAACCGUCAUAACUCAAAUAUAAGUUAAUUAAGUAGUUGACGUGUAGGAGGGCGUGGAGCUUUGUUAAGAAAUUCUCUGUCAGUGAUGAUGGAUGGAACAGGCUCUAGUGCAGAUCUUGGUGGUAGUAGCAAUAUUCAAAUG
rnacentral:rRNA from 1 species